CUCUUAACGUUGCAUGGCCGGCACCGCAUCGCUUGGACGCUGCUGCACUAGCUUACAAGGAAGAGUUACGGUUAAUAUUCCGGCACCUGGAUUUGGAUUCUCCACGGCAACGUAACUGAACGCGGAGACGACGGCGGGGGCCCUGGGAAGAGUUCUCUUUUCUUCUUAACAGCCUAUCACCCUGAAAUCGGUUUGUCCGGAGCUAGGGUCUGACGGUUGGUAGAGCGCGACACCUUUGUCGCGUCCGGUGCGCUCUCGACGUCCCUUGAAAAUCCGCGGGAAGGAAGGCUCAUGCGGUUUUAGCUCUAGCG
rnacentral:ncRNA from 1 species